AAUAAAAUGGCUGAGAAUUAAGCGAUAAAUUGUAAAUUUAUUAGCGAGAUUAUUUCUCUUCUAUUA
rnacentral:tRNA from 1 species